GACGAACGCUGCCGCCUUCCUUACCCAUUCCAGUUGGACCGAAAGGGCCCGCCUGGCGGGGUCCUGAGUUGGGAAAGGGGGGGUUAAACCGGGGGUGUCUGCCCUGGACCUCGGGGUAAGGCCGGGGAAAUGGGGCCUAUACCCGGCAGGGGGCAUUUUUUGUGGUGAUGGUUGGAAGGUUUUUUCGGUGUAGGAUGAGCUCGCGGCCUAUAAGCUUGUUGGUGGGUUAUUGGCCUACCAAGGCGGCGACGGGUGGCCGGCCUGAGAGGGUGGACGGCCACAUUGGGACUGAGAUACGGCCCAGACUCCUACGGGAGGCAGCAGUGGGGAAUAUUGCACAAUGGGCGCAAGCCUGAUGCAGCGACGCCGCGUGGGGGAUGACGGCCUUCGGGUUGUAAACUCCUUUCGCUAGGGACGAAGCUUUUUGUGACGGUACCUAGAUAAGAAGCACCGGCUAACUACGUG
rnacentral:rRNA from 1 species